GCCCUUGUGCCAAGCAGCCGCGGUAAUUCCAGCUCCAAUAGCGUAUAUUAAAGUUGUUGCGGUUAAAAAGCUCGUAGUUGGAUUUCUGUUGAUAACGGCCGGUCCGCACUAUGUGCGUGUAUCAGGUUCGGUGUCGGCAUCCUCGUGGGGAUCGUUUCUGUGCUUGAUUGCAUGGGGCGGAAUUCACGACUUUUACUUUGAGGAAAUUAGAGUGUUCACGGCAAGCUAUCGCUUUGAAUACAUUAGCAUGGAAUAAUGAUAUAGGGCGUAAGUUCUAUUUUGUUGGUUUCUAGGACGUACGCAAUGAUUAAUAGGGAUAAUUGGGGGCAUUCGUAUUAACGCGUCAGAGGUGGAAUUCUUAGAUUGCGUUACGACGAACUACUGCGAAAGCAUUUGCCAAGGAUGUUCUCAUUGAUCAAGAACGAAAGUAUGGGGAUCGAAGACGAUUAGAUACCGUCGUAGUCUAUACCAUAAACUAUGCCGACUAGAGAUUGGAGGUCGUUUUUUUAUGACUCCUUCAGCACCUUGUGAGAAAUCAAAGUUUUUGGGUUCCGGGGGGAGUAUGGUCGCAAGGCUGAAACUUAAAGGAAUUGACGGAAGGGCACCACCAGGAGUGGAGCCUGCGGCUUGAUUUGACUCAACACGGGAAAACUUACCAGGUCCAGACAUAGUAAGGAUUGACAGAUUGAUAGCCCUUUCUUGAUUCUAUGGGUGGUGGUGCAUGGCCGUUCUUAGUUGGUGGAGUGAUUUGUCUGGUUAAUUCCGUUAACGAACGAGAUCUUAACCUGCUAAAUAGUGGUGUGUAUCUUCGGAUAUGCUCGUCACUUCUUAGAGGGACUUUGUGUCGUCUAGCGCAAGGAAGUUUGAGGCAAUAACAGGUCUGUGAUGCCCAAGGGCGAAU
rnacentral:rRNA from 1 species